AAAAACAUGUCCUUUUGUUUAUAAAUAUAAGGUCUAGCCUGCCCAAUGAUUUUAUUUAAUGGCCGCGGUAUAUUAACUGUGCUAAGGUAGCAUAAUCAUUUGUCUUUUAAUUGAAGGCUAGAAUGAAUGGCUGGACGAAAUAUAAUCUUUCUUUAAUUUAGUUUUUAAAAUUUAAUUUUUUAGUUAAAAAGCUAAAAUUUAUUUGAGGGACGAGAAGACCCUAUAGAUCUUUAUACAUAUCUUAUUAUAUAUUUUAGGGAAUUUAUUAUAAUAAUAAAUAAAUGUAUUUGGUUGGGGCGACAAAAGAAUAUAUAUAACUUCUAUUUAUUUUUUUCAUAGAUUAAUGUUUUACUGAUCCAAUAUUAUUGAUUAUAAGAUUAAGUUACCUUAGGGAUAACAGCGUAAUUUCUUCGGAGAGUUCUUAUCGAUGAAGAAGCUUGCGACCUCGAUGUUGGAUUAAAAUAAGUUGUAGGUGUAGAAGUUUACAUACUAGGUCUGUUCGACCUUUAAUUUUUUACAUGAUCUGAGUUCAA
rnacentral:rRNA from 1 species